rnacentral:pre_miRNA from 1 species
AGGAGGAACAGCCCCAGUGGCGGGGCCAGCUCUGGAAACCUGGAUUCAGCUCCAGGAACUCCGUCUGCAGGGCCUGGAGGCUCCGGGGCGGG